AGAGUUUGAUCCUGGCUCAGGACAAACGCUGGCGGCGUGCGUAACACAUGCAAGUCGGACGGGGCUUAUGUUCUCGAGUGAUCGAGAGGAUGAGUCGAGUGGCGGACGGGUGAGUAACACGUGGAUAACCUACCCUGGUGUGGGGGAUACCCUGUAGAAAUACGGGCUAAUACCGCAUGCGGUCGCUUUCGGGUUGCCGA
rnacentral:rRNA from 1 species